ensembl:snRNA U6 U6 spliceosomal RNA
GUGCUCACUGCAGUAGUACCUACACUAUAUUUGGAAUGAUACAGAUAAGACUAGCAUGGCCUCCAAGCAAGGAUGACAUGUAAAUUUGUGAAGUGUUUAAAAAAAAU